UGGGAUAUCUUUAGUAAUUGCAAUGAACAGGAUAUGCUUAGCUUGACAAAUGGAGCUAUUGGCUUGAAUUGUAUUGUGGAAAUGUAUUACCAACAGAGGUGCAGGUGCCAGCCUAUUGAAAUAAAGCGUCAAUGAGGGUGAGAAUCCUGUUUGUCAUGUGCAGCCCUUUGUGCACGGUGUAUAUUUGCUGAGUCACACUCCUUGGCAUUGGAAUGCAAAGUGGGUGGUAAGUUUCAUGUAAAGGUAAACAUGCAAUUGAGACUGAUAGCACACAAGUACCAUGAGGGAAAUAUGAAAAGGACUUUGAAAAGAGAAUUAAAUGAGUUUGUAUUUGCUGAACACAAAGUAAACAGACUUGAUUUGCUUGGUGGGAGUGUUGCACUUGCUUGACAAGAGCUUUGGGCUGUGGGUGUAAUGAUUCUUUCUUUGCAUGCCAGUUUCUAUUUGUACAUCUGAUUACCUUUGCACAUGAAUGAUAAGUCUCCUGUGGGGGGUGGAUUGCAUGUGCAUGUAAUGAUUUGUGUUUUGAUAAAUGUGUCUGGUGUAUGUGUGUGUUCCUGUGCUUGGGGAUGCUUCCUUCCUUGGACUUACAAGCCCUGACACACACAUGCUGGCAAAAUGCUUCUGCUUGACCCGUCUUGAAACACGGACCAAGGAGUCUAACAGAUGUGCAAAGUUUGAAGGUGGUAUACCUUUGUGUGCAAUGAAAGUGUCAGCUGGGAUAUGUGCACCAGCACCCAAUUAAUUAGCGGACAGAGGUUUGAGUUGGAGCAUAUCUAUUAGGACCCGAAAGAUGGUGAACUAUGCCUGAACAGAAUGAAUUCAGAGGAAACUCUGAUGGAGGUUCGUAUCGAUACUGACGUGCAAAUCGUUCGUCAUAUUUGGGUAUAGGGGCGAAAGACUAAUCGAACCAUCUAGUAGCUGGUUCCCUCCGAAGUUUCCCUCAGGAUAGCUGGAGUUGCUCAGUUUUAUCAGGUAAAGCGAAUGAUUAGAGGAAUUGGGGACAGGUUUGUCUUUGACCUAUUCUCAAACUUUAAAUGGGUAAUAUGUAGUGGUUGCUGUAUGGAACUUCUAAGAUAAAUGGCAAUAUUGGGUGGGCCAUUUUUGGUAAGCAGAACUGGCGAUGAGGGAUGAACCUAAUGUGGGGCUAAGGUGCUUAAUUACUUGCUCAUUUGAUACCAGAAAGGGUGUUGGUUCAUUUUAACAGCAGGA
rnacentral:rRNA from 1 species